rnacentral:rRNA from 1 species
UACGAAGGGGGCUAGCGUUGCUCGGAAUUACUGGGCGUAAAGGGCGCGUAGGCGGAUGUUUAAGUCGGGGGUGAAAGCCCGGGGCUCAACCUCGGAAUUGCCUUCGAUACUGGACAUCUUGAGUCCGGGAGAGGUGAGUGGAACUGCGAGUGUAGAGGUGAAAUUCGUAGAUAUUCGCAAGAACACCAGUGGCGAAGGCGGCUCACUGGCCCGGUACUGACGCUGAGGUGCGAAAGCGUGGGGAGCAAACAGG